AUUGAACGCUAGCGGGAUGCCUUACACAUGCAAGUCGAACGGAGUGGCGAACGGGUGCGUAAUGUAUCGGAACGUGCCCCGUAGCGGGGGAUAACUACGCGAAAGCGUAGCUAAUACUGCAAACUAUUGGAGUGGCCGAUAUCGGAUUAGCUAGUUGGUGGGGUAACGGCUCACCAAGGCGACGAUCCGUAGCUGGUUUGAGAGGACGACCAGCCACACUGGGACUGAGACACGGCCCAGACUCCUACGGGAGGCAGCAGUGGGGAAUAUUGGACAAUGGGGGAAACCCUGAUGCAGCCAUCCCGCGUGUACGAUGAAGGCCUUCGGGUUGUAAAGUACUUUUGGCAGGGAGGCGGUACCUGCAGAAUAAGCACCGGCUAACUACGUGCCAGCAGCCGCGGUAAUUC
rnacentral:rRNA from 1 species